rnacentral:rRNA from 2 species
UGAUACCCUGGUAGUCCACGCUGUAAACGAUGUCGACUUGGAGGUUGUUCCCUUGAGGAGUGGCUUCCGGAGCUAACGCGUUAAGUCGACCGCCUGGGGAGUACGGCCGCAAGGUUAAAACUCAAAUGAAUUGACGGGGGCCCGCACAAGCGGUGGAGCAUGUGGUUUAAUUCGAUGCAACGCGAAGAACCUUACCUACUCUUGACAUCCAGAGAACUUAGCAGAGAUGCUUUGGUGCCUUCGGGAACUCUGAGACAGGUGCUGCAUGGCUGUCGUCAGCUCGUGUUGUGAAAUGUUGGGUUAAGUCCCGCAACGAGCGCAACCCUUAUCCUUUGUUGCCAGCGGUUCGGCCGGGAACUCAAAGGAGACUGCCAGUGAUAAACUGGAGGAAGGUGGGGAUGACGUCAAGUCAUCAUGGCCCUUACGAGUAGGGCUACACACGUGCUACAAUGGCAUAUACAAAGAGAAGCGACCUCGCGAGAGCAAGCGGACCUCAUAAAGUAUGUCGUAGUCCGGAUUGGAGUCUGCAACUCGACUCCAUGAAGUCGGAAUCGCUAGUAAUCGUAGAUCAGAAUGCUACGGUGAAUACGUUCCCGGGCCUUGUACACACCGCCCGUCACACCAUGGGAGUGGGUUGCAAAAGAAGUAGGUAGC